rnacentral:piRNA from 1 species
UGGGUUGCAGUCAGUCACUUGGCAUGAGC